UGUCCAGGGGCGGGAAACGAACCCACAACCUUCUGCUUACCGAGCAGGUGCCAUGUCCACUAGGCCCGCCCCUGGAC
rnacentral:tRNA from 1 species